rnacentral:rRNA from 1 species
AACACGACUCUCGGCAACGGAUAUCUCGGCUCUCGCAUCGAUGAAGAACGCAGCGAAAUGCGAUACUUGGUGUGAAUUGCAGAAUCCCGUGAACCAUCGAGUUUUUGAACGCAAGUUGCGCCCAAAGCCUUUCGGCUGAGGGCACGUCUGCCUGGGUGUCACGCAACAU